ACGCGCGCUGGCGGCGUGCCUCAUCCAUGCAAGUAGCACGCUGAAGAGAGGAGCUUGCUCUUCUUGGAUGAGUUGCGAACGGGUGAGUAACGCGUAGGUAACCUGCCUUGUAGCGGGGGAUAACUAUUGGAAACGAUAGCUAAUACCGCAUAACAAUGGAUGACACAUGUCAUUUAUUUGAAAGGGGCAAUUGCUCCACUACAAGAUGGACCUGCGUUGUAUUAGCUAGUAGGUGAGGUAAUGGCUCACCUAGGCGACGAUACAUAGCCGACCUGAGAGGGUGAUCGGCCACACUGGGACUGAGACACGGCCCAGACUCCUACGGGAGGCAGCAGUAGGGAAUCUUCGGCAAUGGGGGCAACCCUGACCGAGCAACGCCGCGUGAGUGAAGAAGGUUUUCGGAUCGUAAAGCUCUGUUGUAAGUCAAGAACGGGUGUGAGAGUGGAAAGUUCACACUGUGACGGUAGCUGACCAGAAAGGGACGGCUAACUACGUG
rnacentral:rRNA from 1 species